GACGGUGGAUUCCACGACCAUUGAAAAACCGAAUACACGACGGUGAUUUACCGUCGUCUUUUUGCUUUUUUGUAGUAGUGAUAAAAAUAAACCCACAAUCCUACAAAGAUAAGAAUUUGAUUUUCUUUACUUUUAUUUUUAUUUUUAAGAAAGGUACUUAAGUUUUUUGGAAAGUGAUAUAAAUCUUAAUUUGUCAUAAGCAUAUUUUUUUUAAAUAAAUCAAAGGAUUAGGCGAGAUUAGCUCCUCAGUAUCGGUCAUCUGAUGCACAAACAUCCACCACUCAAGGAGGAGACUGACACUCAGGAAGGCCCCUGCUCGUCCACUUGAUCACAAUUUAUUAAUACGAAACAAAAAAGAUAUACAAGAACAGUAGGGGGACCAAACCAAACCAUGUAGAAGAGAAACACAAUAACAGAAAUGCACAACAACAUGCUGACCUAAGAGACCAAAACACUGAAAGAGUAAACAAAAGAAAGUAGGAGAACUGCAAAUUAGGCACGCCUAGCUAGUCCCGCUGACAAAAAGGCAAAACAAAAGAAGGUGCAAUAUCCCACCAAAUUAAACCAGAGCCCAAAGCACCAUGAU
rnacentral:lncRNA from 1 species